CAAAGUUAUGCCAGUUAUAAUUAUGACUGUCUUCACAUCUAAGUCCUUGCAGCUCACAGCACAUGCUGUUUGCUGCUUCCUUCUAGCUUAACCUCCAAUUUACUAUCCUGGAGCACUGGAUAGUAGUCAAAAUACAAUGCUUAUUAGUAGCAAGCAUCAGUCAUUAGCUCCAAUUUUAUGGAAGUUGCCACCUUCCAGAUUCUAAGUCUUUGUAACUUUGCAGCAUACCUUCCUAAGAAAGGGAAAGAUCAGUGUUCAGAAUUUUUGCUCUAAUCAAGUAAAACCAUGCUUGUGUUUUUCAAAACUUAAAAGAAAAAUCAUUAUCUGUAUUAGAUGAAAAAAAUCCAGCUGCAUUGAAGGUGCAUUUUGCCUUAGAAAGAGAGGGAUACCACAGAAAGAGAGAAGAUGUGGGUCCAUUUCCCCACUCACCACCAAGAAGUCCUGUGAUCUUGAUCUUUCUGACCUCAAUUUCCUCUCGUUUAGGAAAGGGAAAUGAUCACCCAUCUUCCAGAAUACUCUUGAGGGCUGAGUAAGACCAUGCUUGGGAAGGCACUGGGCACAGGCCUGGAGUGUAGCAGAUGCUCAUAUUGGUCAUGUCCAAAUCUGAACUUCCUGAAUUCCCUGGGAUAUAUGCGUACAGCCUAUCUUGAUCAACAGUCGGCAGCAACACAUUGCAGAUAUAAUCUCAAGACCUUGUGGCAUGUACUUGUCACUACAUGCAUAACUUACUAUGGACAGAGGAUCACGGAGAUUUUGAACAUAAUUUCCCACACGACAGGAGAUUAAAUAGACCACAUUGGAAGAAGGCAAGAAGAAGCUAGGUCUCUGGAGUACCAAAAAGUAAACUUCAGCCAGUUCUGGAAGCAUAUAAACAGCAGGAAAUAUACUUGCCGAUGGGCUACUUUCUCAAGAGUUCCUGCUUUCUAGAACUCUGGGGAAAGAAUGAGUUAGUGGGUAAGAAUGUAAGAGGAAAAAGGACCUUCCCUGGAAAGAUUUGGAGUGGAAGAAAAUCCGUGUCUCCUCAUUUAUGUAUGACUUUCUCCUCUCCCUUUGUGAUGCCCCUUUCUUGAAGAAUCCGCUCCCCCAGGUUCACUCCAUCAGAACCUACUCCUGAGACUGCAUUCCUGGCACCUAUAGUGAGGUGUUAAGUCAAUGCCCUACCUUUCAGUAUGUAUGUAAAUAUCAAGCUUUCUUUCUAUGUUUUUUUUUUUUUUCCAGUGAAGAAUUACUGGCUAUCAACAAAUAAAUAAGAGAAGGCAUUAGGGUCCA
rnacentral:lncRNA from 12 species